rnacentral:rRNA from 1 species
AGAGUUUGAUCCUGGCUCAGAAUGAACGCUGGCGGCGUGCCUAACACAUGCAAGUCGGGUGUGCCGCAAGGUGCAUGGCAGACGGGUGAGUAACGCGUGGGGAAUCUACCUCUUUGUGGGGAAUAACGCUCCGAAAGGAGUGGUAAUACCGCAUGAGACCGAGAGCUGGGAUGCAUUCGGUGAAACCUGGGGACCGUAAGGCCUGGGGCAAGGAGAGGAUCCUGCGUCUGAUUAGCUAGUUGGCGGGGUAAUGGCCCACCAAGGCAACGAUCAGUAGCCGGCCUGAGAGGGUGAUCGGCCACAUUGGAACUGAGACACGGUCCAAACUCCUACGGGAGGCAGCAGUGGGGAAUUUUGCGCAAUGGACGAAAGUCUGACGCAGCAACGCCGCGUGGGUGAUGAAGGUCUUCGG